rnacentral:rRNA from 1 species
UACGUGAGCAGCGAGCGUUGUUUCGGAGUUACUGGGCGUAAAGGGUGUGUAGGCGGUUUUUCUAAGUUUGGUGUGAAAUCUCCCGGCUCAACCGGGAGGGUGCGCCGAAAAACUGGAAAGACUAGAGUGCGGGGAUGGGGAGAGUAGGAAAUUCCUGGUGUAGCGGUGAAAUGCGUAGAUAUCAGGAAGAACACCAAUGGCGAAAGCAGCUUUCUGGGACGGGUACUGACGCUGAGACGCGAAAGCGUGGGGAGCGAACAGG